AACCAUGCAUUUUCCUUACCCAUCACACGAGCACACUGGUCGGAGUGGUUCUGAAAAAAGGAAGAGUGAAAUUGAAACUAACUUAAAUUAUUUUGUGACACACAGGUCCGUUUCAAACAAAC
rnacentral:snoRNA from 1 species